rnacentral:rRNA from 1 species
UACGUAGGGGGCAAGCGUUGUCCGGAUUUAUUGGGCGUAAAGAGCGUGUAGGCGGCCAUGCAGGUCAGCUGUAAAAACUCGAGGCUCAACCUCGAGACGUCGGUUGAAACCGCUUGGCUAGAGUCCGGAAGAGGAGAGUGGAAUUCCCGGUGUAGCGGUGAAAUGCGCAGAUAUCGGGAAGAACACCCGUGGCGAAGGCGGCUCUCUGGGACGGUACUGACGCUGAGACGCGAAAGCGUGGGGAGCGAACAGG